rnacentral:rRNA from 1 species
UACGUAGGGUGCGAGCGUUAAUCGGAAUUACUGGGCGUAAAGCGUGCGCAGGCGGUUUUGUAAGACGGAUGUGAAAUCCCCGGGCUUAACCUGGGAACUGCAUUUGUGACUGCAAGGCUAGAGUACGGCAGAGGGGGGUAGAAUUCCACGUGUAGCAGUGAAAUGCGUAGAUAUGUGGAGGAAUACCGGUGGCGAAGGCGGCCUCCUGGCUUAAUACUGACGCUGAGGUGCGAAAGCGUGGGGAGCAAACAGG